rnacentral:rRNA from 1 species
GUACGGUCGCAAGAUUAAAACUCAAAGGAAUAGACGGGGACCCACACAAGCGGUGGAGCAUGUGGUUUAAUUCGACACUAAACGGGGAACCUUACCGAGGCUUGACAUCUCCGGAACUCGAUAGAAAUAUUGAGGUGCCGCAAGGAACCGGAUGACAGGUGCUGCAUGGUCGUCGUCAGCUCGUGCCUUGAGGUGUUCGGUUAAGUCCGUAAACGAGCGCAACCCAUGUCCUAUGUUGCAUUUUUCAUAGGAGACUGCCGGCUCCAAGUCGGAGGAAGGUAUGGAUGACGUCAGAUCAGCAUGGCCCUUAUGUCUCGGGCCACACACGUGCUACAAUGGCCGGUACAAUGGGCAGCAAACCCGUAAGGGGGAGCGAAUCUCAUCAAAGCUGGUCUCAGUUCGGAUUGAGGGCUGCAAUUCGCCCUCAUGAAGUUGGAAUCGCUAGUAACCGUGAAUCAGGCAUGUCACGGUGAAUAUGUUCCUGGGUCUUGUACUCACCGCCCGUCAUAUCAUGAAAGGUGGGGGUACCCGAAGUCGCCUUAGUCCUUCGGGACGGGUGCCUAAGGUAAACUCACUGAUUGGGAUAAAGUCGUAACAAGGU